rnacentral:rRNA from 1 species
UACACAAAAAUGCACAUGCUGUGAGCUCGAUGAGUAGGGCGGGACACGUGGUAUCCUGUCUGAAUAUGGGGGGACCAUCCUCCAAGGCUAAAUACUCCUGACUGACCGAUAGUGAACCAGUACCGUGAGGGAAAGGCGAAAAGAACCCCGGCGAGGGGAGUGAAAAAGAACCUGAAACCGUGUACGUACAAGCAGUGGGAGCACGCUUCGGCGUGUGACUGCGUACCUUUUGUAUAAUGGGUCAGCGACUUAUAUUCUGUAGCAAGGUUAACCGAAUAGGGGAGCCGAAGGGAAACCGAGUCUUAACUGGGCGUUAAGUUGCAGGGUAUAGACCCGAAACCCGGUGAUCUAGCCAUGGGCAGGUUGAAGGUUGGGUAACACUAACUGGAGGACCGAACCGACUAAUGUUGAAAAAUUAGCGGAUGACUUGUGGCUGGGGGUGAAAGGCCAAUCAAACCGGGAGAUAGCUGGUUCUCCCCGAAAGCUAUUUAGGUAGCGCCUCGUGAAUUCAUCUCCGGGGGUAGAGCACUGUUUCGGCAAGGGGGUCAUCCCGACUUACCAACCCGAUGCAAACUGCGAAUACCGGAGAAUGUUAUCACGGGAGACACACGGCGGGUGCUAACGUCCGUCGUGAAGAGGGAAACAACCCAGACCGCCAGCUAAGGUCCCAAAGUCAUGGUUAAGUGGGAAACGAUGUGGGAAGGCCCAGACAGCCAGGAUGUUGGCUUAGAAGCAGCCAUCAUUUAAAGAAAGCGUAAUAGCUCACUGGUCGAGUCGGCCUGCGCGGAAGAUGUAACGGGGCUAAACCAUGCACCGAAGCUGCGGCAGCGACGCUUAUGCGUUGUUGGGUA